rnacentral:tRNA from 1 species
GGGCCAUAGCUCAGUUGGUAGAGCGCUUGAAUGGCAUUCAAGAGGUCAGGGGUUCGACUCCCCUUGGCUCC